UACAAUUGUAAGUGUAACAAAGCAUUGCCAACAGUGGGAAGAGCAGACUACUUAGAACUUAUUUAAAAUGCAGAGGAUUUUGUUCAAAACAUGCACAUUCUAUGUAUUUUAAAUAAAAUAAUAUAAAUAUUAAAAUAACUUUUUAAAUAAAAUAGCUUCAUCCGGGGCCGAGUCGUGGGGGCAGCAGUCUAAGCAGAGAUGCCCAGACUUCCCAUAACUUUUAAUUAAGCAAAUAACUCAAAAGGUCAACAUCCAUGAAGUGUGCAAAUUAUUUUCACUCAAAUCACAAACAAAAGUUAUAGUCACUUUGGAAAAAUCUUAAUUUAGCCACAUCGUGGUGUGUAUUCAAACAGUGUCUUCAGCACUUUCUUUCCCCAUCUCAAAUAAAAGCUGAUGGAUUUGGAACUUGGCUAGACCUUUUUUAUGUUUAUUGAUCAGGUCACCUAUGGUGUGACAAAAUCUUGUAAUAUUGUCAUCAAACUCUGAAGUGAGCAUGGCAUGUCUCUUUUCCCUCUUUUUUCUGCGCUGAUCCAGAGGGUUAAGUUGAGAUGUCUGGUCAUUGUUCUUCCUAAUUUUCUUUGGCACUCUCUAGGAGGAUGUAGAGUCGUCGAGGCAGGAUGUACGUGGAGAGACACUCCUAGGUUGUUUUUGGUGGACAGGUCUUUGGUAAUUAGAUGUGACAGGUUCUAAUGAUGGUCUGUUCUCAGCCUCAGGUCAACUGAUGCAGCUGGUGAAGUUACAUUUAAGUCCAGGUCAGUUUCAGGUGACUGUAGGAUUGAUGAGCUGCUGCUGUACUCCAUCUGCAAUGACAACAUAUUUUACUAUUCAACAGGGCUACUCAACCUGAAGGGGGGAGAGGGGCAUAACAUAAGCUUGCAGUACAUGACUACAGAAAAUAAACAGGCACAUGCCUGAAUUCAAGUAACCUUAAACAUAUGCCACAAUAUUACUGUUGUAUAAAAGUAAUAUUUUUAUUUUAUCAUUAUCUCCAUCUCUUCUCUGCUGUCUCCUAUCCUCUGUUCCACUAUGGUCUACUCUCUCCUGUUCCAUGUCCCCUGUUGGCUCUCUGUACCUCACUAUCAAAACUCGUCUCUUUCCUGCCUACUAAAGUAAUGCACUUAAAAAAAACACAAAGCAUAACCUUUAAGAGAUGGUAAUAAUCUCUUUCUCCUAAUAAAUAAGGUUAUUCAGGUUCAAGUAAAUAUAUAAUUUCAUUCAACUUCAAAGUUGCCUGACACUUGUCCCUGCUUCUCCCUCUUUCGGCUAAAACUAUUUACUCAUCUGAAGAAAAAUCUCGUUAAAAACCGACACAUUAACUUUGCAUUUAAUGUUCGAGGAACAAGUAGCCAGCAUGGCAAAAUAGUACUAUUAGUGAUAGCUAACCAAAUUUGCUUUACUUGUACCAUGGCAAAAUAGUAUUAUUAGUGUUAGUUAGCCAAACUUGCAUUACCUAAAGCAUGGCAAAAUAGUACCAUUAUUGUUAGCUAACCAACCUUGCUUUACAUAUAACCUCUGUUUCGACAAAUACAAUUGUGGCAGCAAUAUUGAUAGCUACAUCUAAAUAUAACUAUAUUUAACUGAGUAGUUAGCUAAUUAACGCAGUCAUGCAAACAAACGACUGGUACAUGUAAAACGCAAAAGAAUGGAGUAUACACUGGAGUAUACACUUUCAGUACUUGCAGUUUAGUUUCUCCGACAACGUGACUAAUAUUUUCGUUUUUCGCCAGUCCAUAGGGAUGACUGUAUUGAGACUGUAUCGUUUUUUUUCCUGUGUUGCUAACACGAAUCUUUCAUCUUUACUGGGCAGUUAGCCAACUUUAUAACAAGUAAUCAACAUUGAAUUUUCCAAUUUGAAAACCUGAACUUAGCUCCUUUGCAUCUUCGCCAAAAUUGGAGUCGGUUUCACUGUUUUAUGUGCCCGGACCAAGCGUGCCGCACAAGCCCUGAAAAG
ensembl:lncRNA